rnacentral:rRNA from 1 species
CACGUAGGGCGCGGGCGUUGUCCGGAAUUAUUGGGCGUAAAGAGCUCGUAGGCGGUCUGUCGCGUCUGCUGUGAAAACCCGAGGCUCAACCUCGGGCCUGCAGUGGGUACGGGCAGACUAGAGUGCGGUAGGGGAGAAUGGAACUCCUGGUGUAGCGGUGGAAUGCGCAGAUAUCAGGAAGAACACCGAUGGCGAAGGCAGUUCUCUGGGCCGUAACUGACGCUGAGGAGCGAAAGCGUGGGGAGCAAACAGG